rnacentral:rRNA from 1 species
AAAAACAUGUCCUUUAGAAUUUAAUUUAAGGUCUGACCUGCCCACUGAAUUAAAUGGCCGCAGUAUUUUAACUGUGCAAAGGUAGCAUAAUCAUUAGUCUUUUAAUUGAAGGCUUGUAUGAAUGGUUGGACGAAAUAUUAACUGUUUCAUAGAAAUUGGUUUAGAAUUUUAUCUUUUAGUUAAAAAGCUAAAAUGUUUUUAAAAGACGAGAAGACCCUAUAGAUCUUUAUAAUUUAUUUAUUAUAGUUAUUUAGAUAAUUUAAAUUAUAAUUGUAUAAAUUAUUUUGUUGGGGUGACAUUAAAAUUUGAUUAACUUUUAAUAGUUUAUUACAUUGAUUUAUGAUUUAUUGAUCCAUUAUUAAUGAUUAAAAAUUUAAGUUACCUUAGGGAUAACAGCGUAAUUUUUUUGAAGAGUUCAUAUCGAUAAAAAAGAUUGCGACCUCGAUGUUGGAUU